ACUCAAAUGAAUUGACGGGGGCCCGCACAAGCGGUGGAGCAUGUGGUUUAAUUCGAUGCAACGCGAAGAACCUUACCUGCCCUUGACAUGCCAAGAAUCCCGCAGAGAUGUGGGAGUGCCUUCGGGAACUUGGACACAGGUGCUGCAUGGCUGUCGUCAGCUCGUGUCGUGAGAUGUUGGGUUAAGUCCCGCAACGAGCGCAACCCUUGUCUCUAGUUACUAACAGUUCGGCUGAGCACUCUAGAGAGACUGCCGGUGAUAAACCGGAGGAAGGUGGGGAUGACGUCAAGUCAUCAUGGCCCGUAUGGGCAGGGCUACACACGUGCUACAAUGGACGGUACAGAGGGUCGCCAACCCGCGAGGGGGAGCUAAUCUCACAAAGCCGUUCGUAGUCCGGAUUGCAGUCUGCAACUCGACUGCAUGAAGUCGGAAUCGCUAGUAAUCGCAGAUCAGCAUUGCUGCGGUGAAUACGUUCCCGGGCCUUGUACACACCGCCCGU
rnacentral:rRNA from 1 species